rnacentral:rRNA from 1 species
AACGCGAAGAACCUUACCAGGGCUUGACAUCCCUUGAUCGGUGCAGAAAUGUACCUUCCAUAGCAAUAUGGCAGGGUGACAGGUGCUGCAUGGCUGUCGUCAGCUCGUGUCGUGAGAUGUUGGGUUAAGUCCCGCAACGAGCGCAACCCUCGUCGAGUGUUGCCAUCAUUAAGUUGGGCACUCACUCGAGACCGCCGUUGAUAAGACGGAGGAAGGUGGGGAUGACGUCAAGUCAGCAUGGCCCUUACGUCCUGGGCUACACACGUGCUACAAUGGCCGGAACAACGGGCAGCAAGACCGCGAGGUCAAGCGAAUCCCAUAAAGCCGGUCUCAGUUCGGAUUGCAGGCUGCAACUCGCCUGCAUGAAGUCGGAAUCGCUAGUAACCGCAGAUCAGCUACGCUGCGGUGAAUACGUUCCCGGGCCUUGUA